rnacentral:rRNA from 1 species
AACGAACGCUGGCGGCAGGCUUAACACAUGCAAGUCGAGCGCCCCGCAAGGGGAGCGGCAGACGGGUGAGUAACGCGUGGGAAUCUACCUUUUGCUACGGAAUAACUCAGGGAAACUUGUGCUAAUACCGUAUGUGCCCUUCGGGGGAAAGAUUUAUCGGCAAAGGAUGAGCCCGCGUUGGAUUAGCUAGUUGGUGGGGUAAAGGCCUACCAAGGCGACGAUCCAUAGCUGGUCUGAGAGGAUGAUCAGCCACAUUGGGACUGAGACACGGCCCAAACUCCUACGGGAGGCAGCACUGGGGAGAAUUGGAAAAUGGGCGCAAGCCUGAUCCAGCCAUGCCGCGUGAGUGAUGAAGGCCUUAGGAUUGUAAAGCGCUUUCACCGGUGAAGAUAAUGACGGUAACCGGAGAAGAAGCCCCGGCUAACUUCGUGCCAGCCGCCGCCGUAA